CCUACGGGAGGCAGCAGUGGGGAAUAUUGCGCAAUGGGCGCAAGCCUGACGCAGCGACGCCGCGUGCGGGAUGAAGGUCUUCGGAUCGUUAACCUCUGUUAGCAGGGAAGAACGUCCACUGUGCUAAUCAGCAGUGAAUUGACGGUACCUGCAAAGGAAGCACCGGCUCACUCCGUGCCAGCAGCCGCGGUAAUACGGUGGGUGCGUGCGUUAAUCGGAAUUACUGGGCGUAAAGCGCGCGUAGGCGGUAUGUCAAGUCAAGGGUGAAAUCCCCGCGCUCAACGUGGGAACUGCCUUUGAAACUGGCAAACUGGAGUGUGUGAGAGGUUAGUGGAAUGCAAGGUGUAGGAGUGAAAUCCAUAGAUAUC
rnacentral:rRNA from 1 species